UACGUAGGGUGCAAGCGUUGUCCGGAAUUAUUGGGCGUAAAGAGCUCGUAGGCGGUCUGUCGCGUCUGCUGUGUAAACCUAGGGCUUAACUCUGGGCGUGCAGUGGGUACGGGCAGGCUAGAGUGCGGUAGGGGAGACUGGAAUUCCUGGUGUAGCGGUGAAAUGCGCAGAUAUCAGGAGGAACACCGGGUGGCGAAGGCGGGUCUCUGGGCCGUAACUGACGCUGAGGAGCGAAAGCAUGGGGAGCGAACAGG
rnacentral:rRNA from 1 species